rnacentral:lncRNA from 1 species
ACGCCUGUAAUCCUAGCACUUUGGGAGGCCGAGGUGGGUGUAUCACGCGGUCAGGAGAUGGAGACCAUCCUGGCCAACAUGGUGAAACCCUGUCUCUACUAAAAAUACAAAAAUUAGCCAGGCUUUGUGGUGCAUGCCCACAGUGAGCUGAGAUCGCACCACUGUACUCCAUCCUGGGGGACAGAGCUAGACUCCAUCUCAAAAACGAAAGUGCCUGGUCGUCUUUCCACACAACUCCGUUUCCACUCCCAUAAAAUGCUACGUUAGCUGUUUUGAGGGUAGAUGCCCUUAGACUGCCAACUCACAAAGUUUUAUUGGGCACCUGUUACCUGUUCAGCAGAGAUUUGUAAAAAAAGACACAUCAGGUGGCCUUUGCUUGCAAGAAAUCAGCCUUUGGAACCUGUGGAGAAAAGUUAAGUACUGCGUACUGCGCAAAUGAAGGGUGGGAGCUAUUGAAGGGAAGAGACUCACCCCGAAAACCCAAGAAUGGUCAAACGAGAGGCAAGGUGGAGCCUGCAGUUUUCACUGGAAGGAUUCUAGAGUGAGUGAUUCUGGGGACCUAGAGAUGGGGGAUAACGGGUGAAAGGAACAAGCACGGCCCCUUUGAGGUGGAAAACAGACUGGUGGGCCAGGGUUGGGAGGGUGUGCUGGGGAAGUGUUGUGGGCAGAGGCUGGAAAAUGAAAUUGGGCUGGGGUUAGGAGACAGGUGACCGUGGAAGACUGCUCUGACAAUCAGAGUCUGGACUUUGCUCCUCUGCAGGAUCCCUGAUGCCCAGAUGGACCCUUCGAUGUUCCUGGCCCACCUGCGCUACCUAUUCUUGCCCCGCUCUGCUCUAGUAUUUACAACUGCACGAUGGCACAGUUGGUCUCUGGGACUUAGAAUUUGUGUUGCAAACACAAGACCUGGAGAAUGGACCUGGUCUGUGAUAUAGUGUGUCAGUCAGGGACCUGGAGAAACAGAAGGGGAUCCCAAAUAAGAAGACUUGAAGGAAGUUUAAGAAAGGCACCAAAUACAAUUUGAAACUUGUGGGCUGGGAAGCCACACGAGAUAGCGCAGGCUGGGGGAUGUGCAGGAGCUGUCAUCAGAAGCCGGAAGUGGAACAUGUUAUGAAAAAGGUCACUUUUCAUAACACUUUGCAUGGAGAAGGAGUACAAGGGAAGUCAAGAGGACCCACAGUGGGAAGUGGGCUGUGAAUACUCUGAUCCUACCUCAUUUACUGCCAGUGCAUCCCUUGGCCUAAGUGAAGUAGGAGCUUGGGAGAAGAUUGGCCGUUGACUCUAAUCCUGCUCCCAGGUUCCUACUUAAUCAGCAUCCAAGAUCAAGGUGUGGAGUUGACAGUGACAUCUCGGACUUCAAUCCACCAUGUUGACUUCUGAUUAACCCCAGUCCUGGGAAUACCUCCAAGAAUUCUACUUUAUUUACUUCUCUUAUGUAAGAAUGUUUAACUCACCAUGGAUCCUGCCCUUAGACCAAAGCGACCUUGAUGUUAUUGCACAAAUUACAGGCUAUGACACAUAUACCAUUCCUGCCUGUGCUAGAGGAUUGCCUUUAAUUGCUUGCUGGAGCACAUAUGCUUUUCCCUAUGGUAGAUAAGCCUUGGGUCUGGGAGUAAGAGUGCAGAGAUCUACCUGUCUUGGUGCCACCCAAGGUCAUACCUCCGUCUGUAAGUUCCCCUUUCAUGGAACACAAGGUAAACCUCACAAAGUAUAAGGCAGAUCUUUUCCCAUUUCCUGCAUGUCUUCUCAAUACCUGUGAUUGAAACAUGCAGUGGAAAUAUCCAUGCCCGUCUUGAUGGAUGAAGCUAACUGGCUGGUAGGUCGAAGCCAGUUCGAGGAACAGGUUCCAUGCAGUGCCUCCAGCCUGUUCCUGGGACAGGCUCCAAUCUCUUGGUGCAGUUAGCUUCAUGCAUUAAGACAGGCAUGGAUAUUUCCAUGUUCUUCCUGAAUCACAGGUAUUGAGAGGAAGUGUGGGAAAUGGGAGAACAGCUGCCUUAUGAAUCAUGAGGUUCACCUAAACCUUGGGGGCUAGAAUUGAGAUGGAGCAGUGUUCUGAGGGGUCCCAAGAAGCCUAGUAUAACUCAUAAGAUGCUUGGGAGUUUAAAUAUGCUUUUCUGUGCAGAGUCUACCAUCUAAGUCUCUCUGGUUUGAAGUUGGAGAAACUGAAUUUGUCAUUCAGCUAGAAAACAUACUGGAGGAGAGAUUUUAACUCAUGCCUCAGAACAAAGCUCAGGGCUUUCUGAAGCACCAGAGGGUGCCAAAGGAGUCAGAGCUUGGGUUCUGCCCAUUGAGAAGAAUGAAGAGGGAUGCUGGUUUCAGUUUAGCAGGAGGAAAAUGGUAAAAAUAACAUUGAAAAGAACAAAUAGACUUACAAGGGUUCUCAAGAUUUAUCUGCAAGUGAUAUUUUCUAAGGAGACUGCGUGUGUCCCCCAAACUCCAUUUUCAUCAUGUCACAUUUUUCUCAAAAGCAUUUCUAUAAUUCUAGCAUGAGAAGGGAAGCCUUGGUCUAAAUGUUCAUGAGCGGAACCAAGCCGCCUUUCCAGCCUCAUCCUGCAAGCACAUACUCCCUGGCUGCAGGUAGGUCCCCUGGUAGUGUGUAGAUGCCAGCAUUUCUGUUUUAAUGGUACAUGGAGAGAGGCGAUCUAACCUAACAACAAAUUGAUGAUCUAGCUUGAAAAAAAUACCAACUGCCAUUUCUAUCACCGUAAUUUCAAAAGCAGAAGGACAUUUUAACAUCAAAAAGUGGGAAAAACAUUUUCAGAACAAAUAUCAUGGCUCCUUAAUUUUAAAAAGAUGCCUUGGGUGCGUUGGCUCACGCCUGUAAUCCCAGCACUUUG